rnacentral:rRNA from 1 species
GAUGAACGCUGACAGAAUGCUUAACACAUGCAAGUCUUUGGCGAAGCUGUGCUCGCACAGCCUAGCCAAGGCGGACGGGUGAGUAACGCGUAAGGAACUUGCCCUGCAGUCAGGGAUAACAGACGGAAACGACUGAUAAGACCUGGUAAAGUCAGGCGGACUCAUGUCCAGCCUGAUGAAAAGAGAUGCUGCAGGAGAGCCUUGCGUCCUAUUAGCUUGUUGGUGGGGUAACGGCCCACCAAGGCGAUGAUAGGUAGCCGGCCUGAGAGGGUGGACGGCCACAAGGGGAAUGAGAGACGGCCCUUACUCCUACGGGAGGCAGCAGUGGGGAAUAAUGGACAAUGGGGGCAGCACUGAUCCAGCAAUUCUGUGUGCACGAUGAAGGUUUUCGGAGUGUAAAGUGCUUUCAGCAGGGAAGAAAAAAAUGACGGUACCUGCAGAAGAAGCGACGGCUAAAUACGUG